UGCCCAACCAUGAACAUUGCCUGCCAACCUACACGCAGGCCGCCGGAGAACUACAAGCAACCAGCUUUAAACUCCAAGGACUUGACGGUGUCCUGACCCCCUAGAGGAGCCUGUCCUUUAAUCGAUACUCCACGCUAAACCUCACCCCCAUUUGCAAACUCAGCCUAUAUACCGCCGUCGAAAGUCUACCCCAUGAGUGAACCUCCGUGGACAGAACAGCUUUCCCCCUAACACGUCAGGUCAAGGUGUAGCUAAUGUGGGGGAAAGAGAUGGGCUACACUCUCUGACCAAGAGCCCUGUAAGUACAUGAAAUACACCCUGAAAGCAGGAUUUAGCAGUAAACUUAACAAGUUGUGUUAACUUGAAGUCGCGCUCCAGGACGCGUACAC
rnacentral:rRNA from 1 species